GCUGGGAGUUCUGGGGGGAGUCACGUGCUUUUCCGGCCCCUCUGCCUGCAGUGAGAGGUUGCCGGGCUCCUGUCUUGCUUUGCUGGGUGAUGGCUUCUGCUGGGUUCUCAGCUCUUUUGGGGAGACAGUGGAGGACUGCUGCUGCCAGGCUGUGAUGCGGGUGAGGGCUGCAGUGGAGCAAGGAUCAGCCCAAACCUGUGAAAACUUGAGGCAGCGCUGGAUCUGUGGAUGCACGGAGUUCAGGAGGUCCAGUAGUGUGAGGCUUCCCUCAGCUGCCCCAUGUGCAGCUGAGCUGUAUGAGAGCAGCUCUGGAGCCUGUGGCAGCAAGGAUUAGUGAGAGCUGCAGCAGAGCCUCCUGUCAGUCCAAGGCUGUGAUGAGACCAUGGAGGUGGUGGAUGAGGGAGAGCUGCUGUGGGGCCUUGUAGAGUGAGGAUCAUCCUAAACCAGUGAAGAGUUCCAGCAGUGGUGGGACUGUUGGAGGAGGGUGAGAGCUGUGAUGGGGCCUCUUGCUGUAAUGAUGAACCCAAAUGUACAAGCAGUUUUUGGACUGUGGGUCUAGGAAUAAUCUACUCAAGCUUGUGGCAGGGUCUCCUGUUGUGGUGCUGUGAAGCUGUUGGUGGCUCUGCAGCCUGAGGUGAGCUCAUUUGGUGUUUUUAUUUUGGUGAGGGGUGAAAUGUGGGGUUGGCUUUGGUGUUGGAGGGGUUCUUUUUUGGGAUGUUUCUGGGAAAACACAGCCACAUGCAGUGGCAUGCUGCUUGUUUUCCUGUUUCUUGGGUGCUGGAGGCUCAGGUUUGUACCAUCUUUAAAAAUAUAUAUAUUUUUUUUGGGUGGGGGGUGGGUUUUGUCAUUGUCUUGCGUGGCACUUUAUUGCCCCCAUCCUGCUGGGGUGGGGGUGUGAGGGGGAGCCCUCUGGUGAUGCAGGAGCUCCCCCUCAGUGCAGGUGUAAGGGGGUUAAGUUGGAGCUUGGUGGGGCUCAUGUAUAGUGUUGACCAGCUUCUUGGUGCUGAGUCCCAGGCUGGAUGGUGCGAAGCAGGGCUUGGAGCUGUGUUUAAUGUUCUGCGUGUUUAAUGUUCUGCAGGUGUCUUCCACAACUUGCAUAGAGAUCCUGGGGUGCUGCUGCUGGGUAUAGGGAAGUCUUCCAUGUGGAGCUGUGCUCCCUCCUGGCUGCUGAGGGGAGCCUAGCUUUUCUCUGGGUCUGACUGAAUGGAAGGGUGGAGGAAUUCCUCCCUGGGUGGGCUGGGAGAAGAGCUCAUGUACCUGGUUAGGGGAAGAUCUUCAGCUUUGCCUCACUGUCUGCUUCUUUAAGUAUGUGCAUAUCUCGGUGACUCCUUGAUCUUGAGGCACUUGAAGCUUGCAGGUUUCAUCUCUAGUAGCAGCUGCUGAUGAGUGCUUCAGUUCUCCUAUCAGUCCAUUCCAUGACCCGUCAUCCUGAGGACUCCCGUACUUGUGAUCUGGUGCAACAUAAAUUUCAUACUUAAAGCCAAGGAAAAAGCAGAAACACAAACAAAACACCCCAAGAUCCUAGGAAGACUAGGGGCAAGAUUAAGGCAAUGUGACACAAAAGGGAAGCAUGGGCAAAGGGCAAGUCAGGAGAGAGGGGGAAAGAAAAGGAAGAAAUGAAGCUUGGAUGCGAGGGAGCCUGUCCAUCUGUUCUCAGCGCUGACUCUAGGAGCAACGAACAUUAAAUGAUUCACAUAGCCCAAGCAGAGCUCUGUAGUCACAUGAAGUAAAUAUGUGCUGUGAGACUCAAAAACUUCUAUUACCUGCAAAUGCUAAGAAACUGCUCCCUCAAGUGAAAUUCAGUCUAAUUACUGGAUCUCUCACUCCCUUUCCAGUGGCUACCGGAUGACCCAGCGGAGCCGUCAGAACUGACAAGAAGCGAUACAAAGCCUUACAUAUGAACCAUAACUAAAACAUUUUCAAACUCAGGAUGCUUUUGUCUUCUUACUCUACUCUUUUGUAAUUACUUUUUCCUCUA